UGAGGCCUAGUAGCAUGUUAUCUUGCUGC
rnacentral:piRNA from 1 species